rnacentral:tRNA from 1 species
GCAGUCGUGGCCGAGUGGUUAAGGCGAUGGUCUCGAAAACCAUUGAGGUUUUCCCGCACAGGUUCGAAUCCUGUCGACUGCG